CCCUUAGAUGUUCUGGGCAGCACGCGCGCUACAAUGGUCUUCGCAAACGGAUGCAUUCUCGAAGGAGAAUGCCAAUCUUGGAAUCUAUGCCUUGGUCGGGACAGUUGCUUGCAAUUUUUCGACUCGAACCAGGAAUUCCUUGUAAUCGUGAUUCAUCACAUCACGAUGAAUACGUCCCUGCCCUUUGUACACACCGCCCGUCGCUCCUACCGAUCGAAGAGUUAGGUGAAUUGUUUUGAUCGAUAAGAUUUGACUAUGGUCAACUCUCGUUGGGAAAUUCUGUGAAUCUGACUGUUUAGAGGAAGGAAAAGUCGUGACA
rnacentral:rRNA from 1 species